rnacentral:lncRNA from 1 species
CAGGGACUGGUUCAUCACCUUUGAAUACUCCUGUGACAGGAGGCGCUUGCAAAACCCGCCCCCAGCCCCCAGCAGCAAAUAAAUAGAAGGCUCCCAGCCCAGAAGCCAGGAGAAGUUUCUAGGCGCGUGAGUCCCCGAGCUUUUAUUAAACUCCUGGCUGCGCUCAAGACCUCAGCAGGCUUUGGCUGGGAGCCGGGGCAGCCUGGGAGGAGGGCAGUCGGUGGCUUGCUGAUAGCCUGGUGAGGUGGGACUGAGAGAGGCCCUCUGGGAUUCUGCUGGGCCCGAUUAGGUGGUCACCUUUGUGAGCCAGGACCCCAGUGCAAUUCUGGGCAGCGGAUGUUUGGGCUUGUGGCUAAAGGAAGAUCAGCAUUUUCUGAAGUGGAGAAUUAAACUCUGAAAGCCAUCUCAAGCCACAUCACCUUGCUGUGUGACCUUUGGCUUCAAGCCGGAAGAACUGAUGGUAAAGACCAAGGAUGGAUACGUGGAAGUGUCAGGGAAGCACGAAGAGAAGCAGCAAGAAGGUGGGAUU